rnacentral:tRNA from 1 species
GGCGCGGUAGCUCAGCUGGUUAGAGCGCAUGAUUCAUAAUCAUGAGGUCUGCGGUUCAAUCCCGCAUCGCGCUACCA